rnacentral:lncRNA from 1 species
CCCUAUUACCCUUUGGUCGAGAGGGAAAGCAGAAGAAAAUAACUGUGCUUGAAGAAGAAAAUUCCCAACAUGGACAAACCACGCAAAGAAAAUGAAGAAGAGCCGCAGAGCGCGCCCAAGACCGAUGAGGAGAGGCCUCCGGUGGAGCACUCUCCCGAAAAGCAGUCCCCCGAGGAGCAGUCUUCGGAGGAGCAGUCCUCGGAGGAGGAGUUCUUUCCUGAGGAGCUCUUGCCUGAGCUCCUGCCUGAGAUGCUCCUCUCGGAGGAGCGCCCUCCGCAGGAGGGUCUUUCCAGGAAGGACCUGUUUGAGGGGCGCCCUCCCAUGGAGCAGCCUCCUUGUGGAGUAGGAAAACAUAAGCUUGAAGAAGGAAGCUUUAAAGAAAGGUUGGCUCGUUCUCGCCCGCAAUUUAGAGGGGACAUACAUGGCAGAAAUUUAAGCAAUGAGGAGAUGAUACAGGCAGCAGAUGAGCUAGAAGAGAUGAAAAGAGUAAGAAACAAACUGAUGAUAAUGCACUGGAAGGCAAAACGGAGCCGUCCUUAUCCUAUUUAAUGUGUUCGGCCUUUAAUUCUGUUUUGCCUGCUAAUAGUAUUGCCAUUGCCACCUGGACUUUCUGUUUGCAUUUUCUUAAUGCCUUUUCCCAUAUUCUGAAUUUUAACUUUUUGUGAGGCUUUAUUUUAGAUGUUUAGCAUGUAACUCGCUUAAAGUUGAGGUUUCCCCCUAAAAUCUACAAGUUUCCCUCUUUCAGUCAUGAGCCCUACACAUUUGCAUGAAAGAUGUACAUUAUAUAUUGUGAAACGAAAAAAGCAAUUUUCAAAUGGUAUAUAUUGUAUCCCAUUUUUGUAAAAAAAAUGUAUAUUUAUAUAUUAAUAUGCAAAGAAAAAGCUAAAAGUAUAGACUUCAAAGGCAUAACAGUGGUUGUGUGGUAAGAUAAUAGGUGAUUUUUUAAAUUUUUGUUUUAUCUGAAUUUCUCAUUUUUUCAGGACAAACGUUUUACUUGUGUUGCAAAAAUAUAUAAUGAAAAAAUCACACAAUUUUGAAGAAAACUGUCAAUCAGCUUAUAACGACAAUGUGGCACUUAAUAAAUACUUGUCAGAACUU